rnacentral:rRNA from 1 species
AGAGUUUGAUCAUGGCUCAGAACGUACGCUGGCGGCACGCCUAACACAUGCAAGUCGAACGAAGUAGCAAUACUUAGUGGCAGACGGGUGAGUAACAUGUAGGUAUCUGCCCUUUGGCCUGGAAUAACACGAGGAAACUUGUGCUAAUACCGGAUAAGUCUUUACGGAGAAAGCUUUAUGCACCAUUGGAUGAGCCUGCACUUGAUUAGUUUGUUGGUAGGGUAAUGGCCUACCAAGACUGUGAUCAAUAGCUGAUUUGAGAGGAUGAUCAGCCACAUUGGGACUGAGACACGGCCCAAACUCCUACGGGAGGCAGCAGUGGGGAAUCUUGCACAAUGGAGGAAACUCUGAUGCAGCGAUGCCGCGUGAGUGAAGAAGGCCUUUGGGUUGUAAAGCUCUUUCGUCGGGGAAGAAAAUGACUGUACCCGAAUAAGAAGGUCCGGCUAACUUCGUGCCAGCAGCCGCGGUAAUACGAAGGGACCUAGCGUAGUUCGGAAUUACUGGGCUUAAAGAGUUCGUAGGUGGUUGAAAAAGUUGGUGGUGAAAUCCCAGAGCUUAACUCUGGAACUGCCAUCAAAACUUUUCAGCUAGAGUAUGAUAGAGGAAAGCAGAAUUUCUAGUGUAGAGGUGAAAUUCGUAGAUAUUAGAAAGAAUACCAAUUGCGAAGGCAGCUUUCUGGAUCAUUACUGACACUGAGGAACGAAAGCAUGGGUAGCGAAGAGGAUUAGAUACCCUCGUAGUCCAUGCCGUAAACGAUGUGUGUUAGACGUUGGAAAUUUAUUUUCAGUGUCGCAGCGAAAGCGAUAAACACACCGCCUGGGGAGUACGACCGCAAGGUUAAAACUCAAAUGAAUUGACGGGGACCCGCACAAGUAGUGGAGCAUGUGGUUUAAUUCGAAGAUACGCGCAGAACCUUACCAACACUUGACAUGUUCGUCGCGACUCUAAGAGAUUAGAGUUUUCGGUUCGGCCGGACGAAACACAGGUGCUGCAUGGCUGUCGUCAGCUCGUGUCGUGAGAUGUUGGGUUAAGUCCCGCAACGAGCGCAACCCUCACUUUUAGUUGCCAUCAUUAAGUUGGGCACUCUGAAAGAACUGCCAGUGAUAAGCUGGAGGAAGGUGGGGAUGACGUCAAGUCCUCAUGGCCCUUACGUGUUGGGCUACACACGUGCUACAAUGGUAUCUACAACAGGAAGCAAAACUGCGAAGUUAAGCAAAUCCCUAAAAGAUACCUCAGUUCGGAUUGCACUCUGCAACUCGAGUGCAUGAAGCUGGAAUUACUAGUAAUCGUGGAUCAGCGUGCCACGGUGAAUGCGUUCCCGGGUCUUGUACACACCGCCCGUCACACCAUGGGAGUUGGUUCUACCUUAAGGCAAGGUUUCAAACCCUUGACCACGGUAUAGUCAGCGACUGGGGUGAAGUCGUAACAAGGUA